rfam:Schistosoma curassoni strain Dakar, Senegal genome assembly, scaffold: SCTD_scaffold0000301
AUCCAACUGACGAGUCCCAAAUGGGACGAGACGCAUGUCCUGGAU